UACGCGACAUGGUCAGUACGGGGGACCAGCGGAGGGAUAUUACCGAGUUUACAACUCCCAAACCCAAUGUGAACGUUACCAAACUGUUGCCUCGGCGGGAUCUCUGCCCCGGGUGCGUCGCAGCCCCGGACCAAGGCGCCCGCCGGAGGACCAACCAAAACUCUUAUUGUAUACCCCCUCGCGGGUUUUUUUAUAAUCUGAGCCUUCUCGGCGCCUCUCGUAGGCGUUUCGAAAAUGAAUCAAAACUUUCAACAACGGAUCUCUUGGUUCUGGCAUCGAUGAAGAACGCAGCGAAAUGCGAUAAGUAAUGUGAAUUGCAGAAUUCAGUGAAUCAUCGAAUCUUUGAACGCACAUUGCGCCCGCCAGUAUUCUGGCGGGCAUGCCUGUCCGAGCGUCAUUUCAACCCUCGAACCCCUCCGGGGGGUCGGCGUUGGGGAUCGGCCCUGCCUUGGCGGUGGCCGUCUCCGAAAUACAGUGGCGGUCUCGCCGCAGCCUCUCCUGCGCAGUAGUUUGCACACUCGCAUCGGGAGCGCGGCGCGUCCACAGCCGUUAAACACCCAACUUCUGAAAUGUUGACCUCGGAUCAGGUAGGAAUACCCGCUGAACUUAAGCAUAUCAAUAAGCGGAGGAAAAGAAACCAACAGGGAUUGCCCGGUUAACGGCGG
rnacentral:sRNA from 1 species